GAUUAACGCUAGCGGCAGGCCUAAUACAUGCAAGUUGAACGGGAUUUCGGGUAGCAAUAUCUGAAUGAGAGUGGCGCACGGGUGCGUAACACGUAUGCAAUCUGCCUCUGACUGGGGAAUAGCCUUCCGAAAGGAAGAUUAAUACCGUAUAACAUAAUAGAGUGGCAUCACUUUAUUAUCAAAACUCCGGUGGUCAGAGAUGAGCAUGCGUCCGAUUAGCUAGUUGGUGAGGUAAUGGCUCACCAAGGCUACGAUCGGUAGGGGGUCUGAGAGGAUGAUCCCCCACACUGGUACUGAGACACGGACCAGACUCCUACGGGAGGCAGCAGUAAGGAAUAUUGGACAAUGGUGGCAACACUGAUCCAGCCAUGCCGCGUGAAGGAUGAAUGCCCUAUGGGUUGUAAACUUCUUUUAAACGGGAAAAAACCCCACUACGUGUAGUGGGCUGAUGGUACCGUAAGAAUAAGGAUCGGCUAACUUCGUGCCAGCCGCCGCAGUAAAAC
rnacentral:rRNA from 1 species